rnacentral:lncRNA from 1 species
AUGUCAUGUGCAAAUUACCUGUUGUGGGGGGUGGCAGACAGAAUCUUCACAAUCUUCUGCCAGGAAACUUUCCUAGAAGUUACUUCUGUUCUUCCUGCUACUCUUACUUCUGUGUCAGCAGCUGCUCAAACCGGGAAGCUGGUCAGGAACCCAUCUGUGCAUUCACUCUUGGAGAAUAAAACUGCACAAUACGCUACUGCUCUUAGCCAAGAGCAGAGAGCUCUGGUGAUGCAUCCUGCAGCACAGAGGCAAGGAUGCACCUGGAUCACCUGGAUGCAGUGGCUGAACAACUGCAGCACAGACCAGCACACAUCAGAGUGGAAAUGGUACAAAUUGGGAUCUGNNNNNNNNNNNNNNNNNNNNNNNNNNNNNNNNNNNNNNNNNNNNNNNNNNNNNNNNNNNNNAAACAAAAAUACUGUGUGGAUAUAGCAACUCCACCUUUGCAAAGCCAGACCUUUUCCCAUCUGGAGCUCUUAGAAGGGCUUAGCAAAGCCAUGAUGUUAGUAUUGUAUCAGAAAGGAAGGUUCAUGUGUGAUACUAAAUCUGGAACUGUCAAACUCAAAUUAGUAAGUAAAUGACAAUGUAUAAAUAAUUCAGUAGGCUGCCAGAUUUCACAGAAUUAAAAUACAUUUUAUACCAACUCUUAAACUAUGUCAUUGGCAUGCAAACCUGAGAACUUAAAAUACAGUGCAUCAAAUCUAAUAAUCCUUGUACUUGCCUAACAAAUGCAAAUCUUCAGAUCCUCUACAAAUGUUUUUCUUUCAGGAAAGAACCCAAUGACCAUAUUGUCAGUGCUGAGGUUUUUACGGGGUCUGUGUCCUGUAGCCCAGAGUGUCAGGUCAGUGAUUUCAGCACAGUACUUGCAUUACGGUUCAUUUUUAUAUGUAAACAAAAAAUGAGCUGUUUACAUUCAUUUAUGAGGGGCUUCACCAAAGAGAUUUUGUAGUCAGGAUUUACAAACUUUCUUUUUUCAAAUGGUCUUAAUAAUCUGAUGUUUUUCACUCAAAAAGGAAAAAAAAGGCUAAGAAUGGCCUUAAGUAAUAUGAAUUACUCCAUCAAGGCUUAAAAAAAGAAGUCACAUUAUUCCUUCACAGUUGCAGGCAGUACAUUUUGUUGCCUUCCUAACACCAGCCUUAAAUACUGUUUUAAACUAACAUUUGUGCUAUUUGUAGUCAACAGGCAAGAAGUUUGGAGUUCUCCAACAAUAGGUUGAAUGACAUAAGAGCAGGAUAUGUAGCAAGUCGAGCUGCUAAUUUUUGAAGGUGGUGGAUUUUUUUCCUCCUCUGUAUUUCUUUGAUUUUUUUUCCUCCACGUUGGUUGUGUGAUACUGUACAGAUGGUGCACUGACUUUUUUUUAAGGCUUGAUCUUUCUAAUACUUACUGAUCCCCUAAAAGGGCACAGUUUACUGCAAGCAGUGCCCAGUACAGC